rnacentral:rRNA from 1 species
GAGAGGGUUUAGACCCUCGGCAUACUGCUCAGUAACACACGGAUAAUCUACCCUAAGGUGGGGCAUAAUCUCGGGAAACUGAGGACAAUUCCCCAUAGACCAUGGAUGCUGGAAUGCUUCAUGGCCCAAAGCUCCGGCGCCUUAGGAUGAGUCUGCGGUCUAUCAGGUUGUAGUGGGUGUAACGGACCCACUAGCCAACGACGGAUACGGGCGUUGGGAGACGUCGCCCGGAGUUGGAUUCUGAGACACGAAUCCAGGCCCCACGGGGCGCAGCAGUCGCGAAAACUUGUCAAUGAGGGAAACCUCGAACAGGGAAGUCCAAGUGCAUGCGUUUUACGUAUGCUGUUCAGUUGUCUAAAAAACAGCCGAAGUAAGGGCUGGGUAAGACAGGUGCCAGCCGCCGCGGUAAUACCUGCAGCCCGAGUGGUGAUCGAUAUUAUUGAGCCUAAAGCGUCCGUAGCCGGUUUAGUAAAUCUUCGGGUAAAUCGAGCAGCUUAACUGUUCGAAUUCCGGAGAGACUGCUAGACUUGGGACCGGGAGAGGUCAGAGGUACUUCAGGGGUAGGGGCUAAAUCCUGUAAUCCUUGAAGGACCACCAGUGGCGAAGGCGUCUGACUAGAACGGAUCCGACGGUAAGGGACGAAACCUUGGGGCGCAAACCGGAAUUAGAUACCCGGGUAGUCCANGGCGUAACCCUGCAGNNUUGGUGUUGGGACCCUACGUGGGUGCUCAGUGCCNGAGUGAAAUGUAAGCCGCCGCUGGGGAGUACGUC